GCCGGGCGAGGUGGCGGGCGCCUGUAGUCCCAGCUACUCGGGAGGCUGAGCCAGGAGAAUGGCGUGAACCCAGGAGGUGGAGCUUGCAAUGAGCUGAGAUCCGGUCACUGCACUCCAGCCUGGGCGACAAAGUCAGACUCGGUCUCAAAAAANNNNNNNNNNUUUUUUGAGACCGAGUCUGACUUUGUCGCCCAGGCUGGAGUGCAGUGACCGGAUCUCAGCUCAUUGCAAGCUCCACCUCCCGGGUUCACGCCAUUCUCCUGGCUCAG
rnacentral:SRP_RNA from 1 species